rnacentral:rRNA from 1 species
UACUGGGCCGUCAUCUCCCGCCCGCCCGUCACCCUCACACACCGCCCGUCACCCUCACACACCGCCCGUCACCCUCACACACCGCCCGUCACCCUCACACACCGCCCGUCACCCUCACACACCGCCCGUCCCCCUCACACACCGCCCGUCCCUUGCACACACCGCCCGUCACCCGCACACACCGCCCCAACCUCUCACAAAAGAACAAGUGUGAGCUCAAUAGCCCCUCGCUCAUAAGACAGGUCAAGGUAUAGCCUAUGGGGUGGGAGAAAUGGGCUACAUUUUCUAACAUAGAACAAACGAAAAAGGAUGUGAAACCCGCCCUUAGAAGGAGGAUUUAGCAGUAAAGUGAGAUCAUACCCCCUAAGCUCACUUUAAGACGGCUCUGAGGCACGUACACACCGCCCGUCACCCUCACACACCGCCCGUCACCCUCACACACCGCCCGUC